CACGCCCCUGCCUGUCCUGAGUCUUCCUUGUGUGGAUGUGGGCGGAGUCUGCUGGGAGCACCUGCUCUCCAUCUGCAAUCAAGCCUGCUACAAAGGCCCAGCUCUCCAGCCAGACUCUGCCAGAUUGUUUCGUCUACCUGAUGUUCCCGCUGUGGAAGACUCCGGCAUUCCAGCUCCUGGCUCCUCGCUCCUCCACUGCCUAUCCUGCCUCGUCAAUAAACCUUUGUUUCUUUUUUGCAUUUUUGCCCUCGUUCUGAGUCUGUUUUUGGGGUCCACUCCAGUGGUACACAACAAAAUUAGUAUUUAUAAUAAAAACAUUACAACAAAAG